rnacentral:rRNA from 1 species
UCCUACGGGAGGCAGCAGUGGGGAAUAUUGGGCAAUGGACGAAAGUCUGACCCAGCAACGCCGCGUGAAGGAAGAAGGUCUUCGGAUUGUAAACUUUUGUCUUAUGGGACGAUAAUGACGGUACCAUAGGAGGAAGCCACGACUAACUACGUGCCAGCAGCCGCGGUAAU